UACAUGUUCACAAUAAAUAAGAGGAAAUUAGACAGACUGAAAACACACACAUGUUGUGUAUUAGUCUCUAUAAUCCAUGGCUAUGAGGAUAUGGUGACGGAUGAGGUGAGGACUCGAGAUGCAGAACAAUGGGCUUUUAAUUUGUUAUAAAAAAAUAAAAUAAAAACUACCAUGUGGAGGAAAACCCUGAAAAUCCAAACACUAGCAGGGCAGAGAAAACCAGGCAAGGCAGGGAGCAGGACACAGGACAUGACAAGAAUACUGUGAAAAUAUACUUCGAUUAACAACAUGACUAAGCAUUUCGACUAACUUGUUUGUGAACAAUGACACAAGGACUUGUCAUUCUGAUGGCACUGAUGUGUUCAUUAAAAAACACUUACUUUUGAGAGAUAAGCAAAGGGUUUUGAGCAAGUUAUAGAGGUUUUUGCAUGGAAUAUAUUGUGUGGUGCUGUUUGUAAGAUUUGUUUUUAGAAAUGCACUUACUGGUUUGCAAAUCAUAAGGAUGAUUUAAGAAAUAAGCAACUGAGAAAAACUGUAAUAGCAUAAAUAAAAAAACUGAUGAGUGCGAUUGGCUCUUUCUUCUGCUCCCCAUGAGUGAAAUAUAGAAAUGAUGUUGCUCAGAGAGGAGGGACUCGAAGUUCACAGAUCUGACAUGAUCUCAUCGUGUCUGAAAGAGACUGUGGAUGAAACGAUUCAGUCUGACUCUUCUCACAGUGAACACUUGAACAAUGGAUCUUCUUUCAGUUAUUCUGUUCUGUUCAUCAGUUGCUGCUGUAUUUGGAAAUGUCAUCAAACCAAACAAAACCGAUGUUUUUGCUCAGGAGGGUUCAAGUGUUACAUUAUCAUGUAGUUUUUCUACCUCUGGAGGGUCAGAUGAUCUCCACUGGUAUCGUCAGUAUGGAAGAUCAAAACCUGAAUUUCUUGUACUCACCUUUGGAAAUGCAAAAGAAGCUCAGGUAUCUGCUGUAGAUCCAAGAUUCACUGUUGAAGUUGAAAAAAAGGAACAAAUCCAUGUGCAUCUGAAGAUCUCCUCUGCUACAGUAUCAGACUCUGCUGUGUAUUACUGUGCUCUGAGGCCCACAGUGACAGGAAACACAUCAGCUCUAUACAAAAACCUGUUACAAUGAGAGAAACACAGAGACAUAGAUGAAGACCGAUAGAAAAAAAAAACUGACAAUCACAGUAUGUCAGAAAAGUAAUAGAAACAAUGAAUAAAUCACAGGUGCCAAAACAAAAAGUGCAC